CCGACAUUUAGCAAUGGCGUAUUGCUGCAUUUUGGAUUACUUAGCGAAUCUUGCUUUGGAAGAGCGCACGUCUUCGGGGACUGCGCAUAUAGGACGCAGAUACAGUUGCAGAGAACUAUGGCCGAUGUUUGCACACGAUCCAGAAGGAGGCAUGCCAUUUAUGGGAUUGCUAGGGUGUUUCCUUAUGCAAAUCAACAAGAACAAGCACGCGCAUUUUCGAUGUAAGGUACGCGUGUCUGACCAGAUACCGGCUCCGCAUCAGGCUCAGCCCCGCUACCCGAUUCGGAUCCGCCUCCCUCAGCCAUCGUGCCGUUACUGAGUUGGACCUGCGGUGCGCGGAUGCAACGGAAAUAUGAGUCACGGGCCCACGAGCCACACACACUCCAAGUUCCUUUCCCUGCCAGUUACUGGAACUUCAAACGGCAGCGGCGCGCUCGAGCUUUGAUGUCACUAGCCCUUGUUAUGUUUGAAAUAACAUAAUAAACAGAUACAGUUGCCGUUCAUAACUUCUUACAGCUAGUUAAGUCGUGAGUGUUUACCUCGUUACAGUAACAAUCCAAUCAUUUCAGUAGCUGCCUAUCAAAUAAUAGAAAUAAAAUCAUUGUAAUUCCUA